AUGGAACCCAAUGUCUCUAAGAAUGGAGUCUUCGUGGUUAAAGAUACCAUAUGGGUCUUGCUGCCUAGACUCCUUUUGAAGCAGCAGGCUCGCCUUUGAGUUCAAGCACGGUUCACCCCUAAAGCUUAUUGAAAAGUUGGCUGGUCGCGAAAUCGGUCCUGAUUUCUCUAGCUCCAAUGUCCUUGAUGUCCUCAGGAGCCUCAUGAAAAUGAAGAUCAAACACUUCAUAAUGUUUUCUGAAAGCUUGUUUGCUGACCACUUUACGAUGUUCUCUUCUUCAUAUUGGGUUAAAGUCGGUUCUAAUGAUGCCACUACAUUGCGUUCUCUCUAGUAAGUAGAAAUACACACAAUAUCAGUGGCAGAAGAGCUACGGUUUUGAGAAAAUUUCAAACCGAACGGUUCGGUUUUGUUGGUUUUGCAGUUUAGACAAACCUUUAUAUAUAUAUAUGAAAAACAUAUGCACAUAAAUAUAUGAAAUAUAAUGUAUAUAUUUAUAUGAAAUUUUGGCAUGUUUAACUAAGGGUUGAACAAAUUUAACAAUUCUAUAUUAUACAUGAGAAUCAUUACAAAUCCUAAUUAUUGCGUAUUCAAAAAGAAUAACUCUAAAUUACUAAAUAUUGGAAUUUAAAGUUCAUAUUUUUAAAAUUUUUAUGUUUUUACCUUCAUAUGUAUAUUAUAUAUACAUAAAAUAACUCAUAUAUUGUUACCUACACAUAGCCUACAUACAUGUAGUUAAUUUAACCUAUACAUUAGAUGCAUAUGUGUAGGUUAUAUA
rnacentral:lncRNA from 1 species